rnacentral:lncRNA from 1 species
AGGUUUCAUUUAUCAAAAGGUUGAUAGCAAGGAUCGGUCUCGGUGUGGAUAAGCAUAGAGUCUUCGCACAAUCGAAGAAAUUUUGAAAAGAAACUCCCUUCACCAGGUACGUCUUAAAUCCUAUAUUUGACACGUAAAUAAAUUUUAAACAUGAGAAAAUCUACCUUGGAUUGUUAUUGUCUUCCGCUNNNNNNNNNNNNAACAGGGACAACUCAACAUCCCCCCUCACGCCCAGAUCUCUGGAGCGUGGACAACAUAAAUGAGGCCCAACAUCGGUAACAAUAAUUGGGAUGGGCCUGGCUCUGAUACCAUGAUAAGAAUGGACCUUGGGGCUAACUCAACGUCAAAAGCUAGCUUAUAAGGUGAGGAUUGCCCAAGCCAUAUAAGGAGACCAAGGACCUCAAAUCCCUCCGAUGUGGGACAACUCAACACAUCGAGUCAAGCAAAGGACAAGGAUAUCAUGACUAUAUAUAACCAGGGAAAGCUUUCAACAAGGGGCUGCUUCUCCUAUCUCUUUCUAAAAAGCAAAAAAAAACUCUCUUCUUGUAUUCUUGAUAGAGAAGAAGUGGCCUCUAGGAAAAUAUGUAAAUCUGCCUCCUCAUCGAUCGAUGGGAGAUACAACAUUAAAUCUUAAUGAGAUCAUUCAUAUUUCUUUCAUCCUAUAUGCGAUCCUUACCGAAAGCUCUUUGAUCUUGAAUUAAUUAUGUAUGACUAACAUUUACCCCUUCAUCUUUGAUUGAUUUAUUCAAAAAGGUUUUAAUACCUUUUGAGUCAAACACUAUCGCGGACCUGUCAAAGGUGAGCCUGUCUAAACUGUAAAGCCUUCCUCAUGCAUGCACGUUGUUAUCAAGCCUACAAACCAUCAUCAAAAGAGAAUUAGAAACAACUUCCAGCCCAAACCUACCAGAUUCUCCAUUCUCAAUGGCAAUCACAAUCAGCUGGAUGUUGAUCCCCCUCUUUUCUCUUGCCUUUUUAAUUCUGUGGUUACUGUCAGAAGUUUAUAAGUCAUUUGAACUACCAAUAUAUCUAGUAAUAUUUCUUUGUGACAAUUAUUUAAUUAGGUUUUGGUAGUGCUUUUCUGAAUUUUAAAGAUAGAUCAAAACUACUACUAUUUGGCAAUCAAAUUUAUGCUCACUUGUUUGGUUUUCGUUACUCUUUGAGUAUGAUGGUGAUUAAGGAGGCAAACUGAUUGAUUCCAGCCGAAAGCUGCUAGUAGUAAUUAAUGUCUUUUUAAUUAUCUUCACUUACCUUAUGGUGGUAAAGUAGAAACAUGAAUAAAUUCUGGAAGCUAGCAGGAUAAGACAUAGGUGGUCAGUGGGUCACCAUUAGGUCUCCCAUCUUUGAUUUUGUUUUUAGCCUUUUGGAGCAUUACUAUACUAACAGAAAUGUCCAAUUCAAGUAUGGUGUUCCCUACUCCUAAAGCCUAAAUUUGAGGAAAAUAUUGCAUGUAAGUUGCAUUGGUAGUGCUUAAAAUUCGAACCCCGCCACAUCCCAAAAACAAAUAGGAGUAUCGGAUAAGCCUAAACUUUAGAUAUGAGCACUUUAUGUUGUGCCCCACAAUCAAAUGCUGUAGCAUCUAGGUUAAACUAGGAAAAAUAAUUGACCCUUUUACAAAAUUAAAGGGAGAAACAAAUCACCUUCUUAUCAAGAAUUACGAAUGAAUUUGUAUCAGACAAAUUUGGUUUCCUACAUUCUCAUGCUAUCUAUGCACGUCCUUGACAUAGAGAUCGGCCCAACUGAUGCAGAUCCGAGUAAGGUCGACCCCAGUAAAUGAACGGACCGAGUGACGUGACCCAAGACGACGUCGUUUGAAGCUCUAACUCUACCGUACACUAAGACCACCAACUUCUGUACUCUUCUUUGAUUAUUUCAAGGAAGGUCCCUUGAUAUAUAAAGGGGACCUUCCCUUUGUAAAGGAUCAUGUGUUUUUUGCUACUUAGAAUAUACAACUCUCUCCCUCUCUUUCUCUCUCUCUCUUGUGCAAAGAUUAUUACUUGUUCCAUUACUCUUGCAUCUUAAGAUUUUUACAUCUCAUUAUUGUUACCGAUCUUAGCUCGAUAACACUCUCUAGUCCAUAUUACACUUGAUUCCGAUUUACCCUUUUAUAUUUUCGAUUGUUCUUGAGCUUAAUAAGUAUUCACAUAACUUUUUAGCCGAACAUGGUUACAUAAUUCGAGAAAGUUUAUCAUAUCUUUAUACAAUAUACAUUAUCUUUCAUUACUUUUCCUCUCUAGAAUCGACAUUGAGCUAUCUUAUCGGGUAAACGGAUAACCAAACCGAUUAAACGAUAAUCGAUAAUUGAUUUAAACAUUUUUUCGCCGUUUGUGGGGAUUUCGUGAAUCAAAGUUGUACUUUGCUUCUAGAGAUCUUUCAAAAACCACUUUCUACAACCUAAAAUAGCUGAAAACAAUGCAAGAAUGAAAGUCAUUGUGGAUGUUGAGCCGAUCUCAUGGGCCCUCUCAACGCGGCUGCUGAAGGGGAUUGUCUACACGCAACCCCUAGUACCCUGAUAAACGUGGAAAACCUACCUUCCCCUUCUGAAUAUCUGGUGGUUCCACGAGAAAAAAAGAGGCUCCUACAUCUACAACUAAAGAAGCACCCCCUGAGGUAAAGAGGUUACUGGAAGAGUGGCUGACAAAUGCUCUGAGUAGUUUAGCUAAGAAGCCACCCCCAAAACGCCAGAUGCGCAUCAACAACAGACCAUGUUGCAGCCGAAGUUGAACCGAGGUCACACAAACGAACAACGUGCCCGUCGAUGCUCAACUUCACGGCGGCACACUCACACCUCAAAAAGAUGGAGGAAAUCGAAAAUGAAAAUAGAUCGCUUCGCGACCAGAUGAAGGAGCACCAUGACAGAGUGCAUAAGAUCCUAGGUGCGCCUAAGCUGCUUCCAAAACGAGACGUAGGAAAGUUCGUUGAACAACCCUACACAGAGGGAGCUGCACCAUACCCCCAUCCCAAAGACCUUUAAUAUGCCCCCUACUUGAAGGUAUAUGACGGGACCUCAGAUCCCGAGGACCAUCUGGUUCAUUAUGUCACAGCAGUCAAAGAUAAUGAUCUAUCAAGGGAGCAGGUGCCGUCCGUACUUCAGAAGAAGUUCGGCGAAAUGUUAACGGGAUGGGCCCAAACGUGGUACUCCCAGCUACCGCCCAAAAGCAUCUCCGCGUUCGAGGAGAUGGAAGAUAAAUUUGUCACCGCCCACGCAAGAGCUAAGAAAGCGGAAGCACGGGUCAACAACAUCUUCGCUGUCCGACAAACCUCGGGAGAAGGGCUCAGAGAGUUCUUAGCCAGGUUCAACAGGGUCAGAAUGAGCCUACCANNNNNNNNNNNNNNNNNNNNNNNNNNNNNNNNNNNNNNNNNNNNNNNNNNNNNNNNNNNNNNNNNNNNNNNNNNNNNNNNNNNNNNNNNNNNNNNNNNNNNNNNNNNNNNNNNNNNNNNNNNNNNNNNNNNNNNNNNCCCUAAAUUCUCAACAGGGUCAGAAUGAGCCUACCAAACGUGUCAGAAGGCAUGGGAGUCGCAGCUUUUCAAAACGGGCUCAGCAGAGACGGCUCAAGGGCAACCAAAGAAACUACUUAGCCGCCUUAUGAAAUAUCGCCCCACCACCUGGAAAGAAAUUCACAACGCCUACUGUGCCAAGGUACGUGGAGACGAUGACGACCUAAAUGGCCCAUCCCGGCGGUUAAUAGCGGUACACCCAGAAAUCCAAAGAGACCGACGCAACGAGGGACGACGGGAACAAGUCCCACUCCUCAACAGGGAGAGGCACCAACCAUACAUCACAUCUUCGCAUGCGCCACCACCGAGGCACGCGGACGCCUUACAACGACAUGUCUCCCCACUGCGGAACGACAGAGGUAUGCCUCCUUUACUAUCUGCACAUAACUUUUGUGUAUCUCCUUCAAAAGUAGUGUACGCACUGGAGAAGCUAGGUAACAAAGUACAGUGGCCGGUGAAGAUGAAGUCCAACCCCGCCACCAAUAAAAUCAAAUGCCCUAUGUGAGUUCCACCAGGAACGAGGGCACAGAACCGAAGACUACAUAGGUCUCCGGCAGGAGGUGGUUCGGAAGUUGAACCAGGGAUUCUUGAAAGAACUACUCAGCGACAAAGGAAAACUCAACUUUGCAUGUGGGCGGGAACAACCUCAUGGCCCGCCAAGGCCGCCCUCACCAACACGCACCAUCAACAUGAUCAUUGGAGAUGGCAACGACUCAGCGAUCAACCAUGUCAAAUUCAGCAACACUUACAAAUUAAAGCGAACCAUCGCUCACGAACGGUAUGAUGACUUCGAAGAUAGUAUCACCUUCGACAAGUCUGAUACCAAUGAUUUGUUUUUCCCCCAUUAUAAUGCUUUAGUUAUUACUUUACGCAUAGUAGAUACUGACGUUAAAUGGAUUAUGGUCAACGAUGGCAGCGGCGCAUGUAUCAUUCAUCCAAGAGUCCUUGCACUAAUGGGACUCGAGGACAAGAUAAUACCACGCUGUAUAAUACUAACUGGUUUUAACAAUGCGGUGGAAAGAACCUCAUGGGAGGUGACGCUACCUGUUCUAGCGGGAUGAGUUAUUAUGGAAACCACUUUCCAUGUAAUGAACCAAGAAAAGGCAUAUAACGCCAUCAUCAGACGUUCGUGGAUACAUGUCAUGAGGACAGUCCCCUCUAUUUCUACCAAGUGAUCAAACUCCUCACCCCAUGGGGGGUGUUCGGCAUACGGGGCGAGCCGCACACUGCUCAAGAGUGCCAUAAAAUUGCACAGGAUUACAUGCACACCAAACAACUCAAAGGAGCAAGUGCGGAAGCAUAGCAAUCAGCCCUGUCGGGGACUAAGGUCCACCACACAGAGGAUGCCAUCAAAGAUCCUGACGACGCUGAGGCUAACAAGGCCACGGUCGAAGACCUCGACCCUGUCCAGGUGAGCAAUAAUGAUUCCACAAAGAAAGCUUACAUAGGCCACGGCCUUUCAAAUCCAAGUAAGUAUCGUGAAUUUCUAUCUAACCAUGCAUACCUGUUUGCUUUUUCCCAUGCAGAUAUGCCAGGGAUUCCACAAGAAAUUGCCUCCCAGAAACUGAACGUCGAUCCGCUACACCCGCCCGUGCGGUAGGUAAGGAGAAAAUUCAAUGCCGCCAGCAACGAAGCAGUAAGUGAAGAAGUAGACAAGCUAUUGGCGAACAGUUCCAUUAAGGAGUCCAAGUAUCCGUAAUGGGUCGCCAAUGUUGUAAUGGUCAAAUAGAAAAAUGGGAAGCGGCGGAUGUGCGUGGAUUUCACCGACCUAAACAAAGCAUAUCCAAAAGAUUCAUUCCCAAUGACCCACAUGGACAAAUUAAUAGAUGCAACGGCAGGUCAUGAGCUGUUAAGCUUCCUGGACGCGUACUCCGGCUACAAUCAAAUCAUGAUGGCCGAGGAAGAUCAGGAGAAAACAACCUUCAUCACUCACCAGGGAACAUACUGCUACAAGGUAAUGCCCUUCGGGAUCAAGAAUGCGGGGGCCACAUAUCAGAGGCUGGUGACUACGACGCUCAAAGAACAACUUGGCAAAACGAUAGAGGUCUAUAUUGACGACAUGCUAGUGAAGUCAUCAAAGAAAGAGGACCACCUCGAUCACUUAAAAUAAGCCUUCGAAAUAUUAAGAAGAUACGGUAUGAAAUUGAAUCCUGAAAAAUGCGCCUUCAGCGUAGCCUCGAGAAAGUUCCUAGGGUUUCUGGUGUCACAAAGGGGAAUUGAGGUCAACCUAAACCAGAUCAAGGCCAUAGAAGCUAUUCCAUAAAUACCAAAAAACAAGUGCAAAAGCUGACAGGUCAAAUAGCCGCCCUCUCCAGGUUCAUCUCACUCUCCUCCGACAGGUGCCAUAAAUUCUUCGGUGUAUUGAAAAAAGACCAGGGACUACAAUGGAACGAAGAAUAUGUUGAGGCUCUGAGAAAUUUGAAGGCAUACAUGUCAUCACCACCCCUACUAGUCAAACCCAACCUAGGAGAACCAUUGUUGGUAUACUUGGCUGUAUCGGAAGUCACGGUCAGCGCCGUCCUAGUGCGCGAAAAUAAAGGUACGCAAUCUCCUAUUUAUUACAUUAGCAAAACUUUAGUGGACGACGAAACCCGGUACCCACACCUUGAAAGGUUGGCGUUAGCACUCGUAGUAGCUUCACGAAAGCUACGACCCUAUUUCCAGUGCCACCCCAUAAGGGUAGUAACGACCUUCCCUUUAAGAAGCAUCUUACACAAGCCCGAACUCUCAGGCAGGCUUGCCAGAUAGGCCGUUGAGCUCAGCGAGCAUGAUAUCACAUACCUUCCAAGAACCGCCAUCAAGUCGCAAGUCCUAGACGACUAUAUUUUCGACUUUAGUGUGGAAGUCUUGCCAGAGGCGGAACUCGAGGUACAACACGCAUCCUCCAAAAAUGACAUAUGGGUCCUUUAUACGGACGUCGCCAAUGCGUCGGGAUCGGGAUUGGUCUCGUCCUUGAGGUCCCCACAUGUGAAAUGAUUUUCCAGUCCAUACGAUGCCCAAAAAUGACUAACAACGAGGCCGAAUAUGAGGCCUUAUUGCAGGCAUGAAACUAGCCAUCAAGUACGGGGCUCAUCGAAUCCUCCUCCUUUGCGGCUCCCAACUUGUGGUAAACCAGGUCACUGGGACUUAUCAAAUCAAAGAGCAAAGGCUACAAAAGUACCAAACACAAAUACACAAGCAAAUGGCUACGUUCGAUGAAUGCCGCUUCAAGCAAAUUCCCAGAGCACAGAACAUCAAAGCGGACGGCUUGGCAAAAUUGGCCGCAGCCACCAAAAACUCAACAAUGAAAGUGUGGUCACACUCCUCCACUAGGCCAUUGAUCAUACCAAGGUACUUUAUUUAGACUUAACUUGGGACUAGCGCAACUAGUUCAUAUCUUAUCUACAAGACGCGACAUUACCCCCCCCNNNNNNNNNNNNNNNNNNNNNNNNNNNNNNNNNNNNNNNNNNNNNNNNNNNNNNNNNNNNNNNNNNNNNNNNNNNNNNNNNNNNNNNNNNNNNNNNNNNCCCCCCCCCCCCCACACACACACACACAAAAAAGAAGUAAAGAAUCUUAGCAUCAGGCCGUCCGGUACUGUAUGAUCGACAACGACCUCUACAAAAGGACGUUCGAUGGGCCCCUGGACAAAUGCUUAGGGCCACACCAAACAAGGUCGGUACUCGAAGAAGUACACGAAGGUCAUUGCGGCGCCCACACUGGUACCCGCGCCCUUGUGCGAUGCAUCAUACGCGCCGGCUACUACUAGCCCAACAUAAAAAAGAAGCAGUUGAAUAUGUCCGCCGAUGCGAACAAUGCCAAAAGUACGCCCCAAUGAUACACCAACUAGGAGAACCCCUACAUUCCGUCACUUCCCCUGGCCCUUCAUCAAAUGGGGAAUGGAUAUAGUCCACCCCCUACCCGCAGGAUAAGGAAAGGUACGAUUUUUACUUUUUUUAACUGACUAUUUCUCCAAGUGGGUGGAAGUAGGUGCGUACACACAAAUACACAAACAAGAAGUCAUCACCUUCAUUUGGAAAAAUAUCUUAUGACGCUUCGGCAUUAAUCAUCUACGACAACGGGCGACAAUUCAUCGAUCAAAAGAUGACCGAGUUCUUCGAGAAAUGGCGCAUCAAAAGGAUACUAUCCACAUUGUACCAUCCCGCAGCCAACAGCCUAGCGGAGUCCUCCAACAAAACAAUUCUAAACAUACUGAAAAAGAAGCUUGAAGACGCUUAAGGGAUAUGACCCGAACUACUACAUGAUCUUUUGUGGGCAUACAAAACUGCACCCAAGUCCAGCACCGGGGAAACCCUGCACUCACUAGUAUACGGAAUCGACGCGGUCAUACCUGUCGAAGUAGGUGAACCCAGCCUAAGGUAUUCGCACACCAGUGGAACAGAAAAUGACAUCAACAGACUUCAAGAUCUUGAUGAAGCCAAGGAAAGAAGGGAAAUGGCCCACAUCAGAAUGGUAGCCCAAAAAAUCAAGUCGAGAGAUAUUACAACAAAAGGGCAAAAAUAAGGCCACUCAAAGUAGGAGACUACGUCCUUAAAGCCAAGAUGUUGGCCUCCAAAGACCCAAGUGAAGGAAAACUGGGCACAAACUGGGAAGUACCCUACAAAAUCACUGCGGCAGUCGGGAAAAGGGCAUUACAGCUAGAGACAAUGGAGGGAAAAACACUCCAGAAUAACUGGAACGUCACUCACGUCAAGCAUUUCCACUUCUAAAGGGUGUCCCCUAAGUCGUACUCUUUUUUCCUUAUCUGAGUUUUGUCCCAAUUGGGUUUUCUCGGAAAGGUUUUUAACGAGGGGGCAAAGGGAACACCUGGAGAUGUUCGCAGCACAAGUGUAUCAUAUCAGCCUCUCCAUGUACUCUCCAAGCCUGACAUGAUAUAGGGACAGGAUUAGGGCCAUCUCCAAUGUAUGAAAAGGCUACGGCCAUUUCCAAUGUAUGAAAAGGCUAAGGCCAUCGUUUUUACAAGGCCAAGGCCGUUAAAACUCUUACAUCGCUAGGGCCAUCGUUUUUGCACGAUUAAGGCCGUAAAAGUUUACAUGGCUAAGGCCAUCAUUUAUACACAGUUAAGGCCGUAAAUUUACAUGGCUAAGGCUAUCGUUUUUACACAGCCAAGGCUGCAAAAACUCUUACAUGGCUAUGGCCAUCGUAUCUACACGAUUAAAGCCAUAAAAUCUUACAUGGCUAAGGCCAUCAUUUUUACAUGGUUAAGGCCGUAAAAUUAUACAUGGCUAAGGCCAUCAUUUUUACACAGCCAAGGCCGUAAAAACUCUUACAUGGGUAAGGCCAUCAUUUCUACACGCUAAAGCUGUAAAAUCUUACAUGGCAAAGGCCAUCGUUUUACAUGGUUAAGGCCGUCAAAUUUUACAUGGCUAAGGCUAUCGUUUUUACACGGCCAAGGCCGAAAAAACUCUUACAUAGCUAAGGCCAUCGUUUUUACAUGGCCAACUAAGGCCAUCGCUUUUACACGGCUAAGGCCAUCGUUUUUACACGGCUAGGGCCGUAAAGGCUCUUACACGGCUAAGGCCGUUAAAUUUUACAUGGCUAAGGCCAUCGUUUUUACACGAUUAAGGCCGUAAAAUUUUACAUGGCUAAGGGCAUCGUUUUUACAUGGCCAAGGCCGUAAAAACUCCUACAUGGCUAAGGCCAUCGUAUCUACACGAUUAAAGCCGUAAAAACUCUUACAUGGAUAAGGCCAUCAUUUUUACAUGGUUAAGACCGCAAAAUUUUAUAUGGCUAAGGCCAUCGUUUUUACACAGCCAAGGCCGUAAAAACUCUUACAUGGCUGAGCCCAUCAUUUUUACAUGGUUAAGGCCGUAAAAUUUUACAUGGCUAAGGCCAUCAUUUUUACACUGCCAAGGCCGUAGAAACUCUUACAUGGACAGGGCCAUCAUUUUUAAACGGUUAGGGCCAUAAAAUCUUACAUGGCUAAGGCCGCUGUCGAACACGGAUUAAGGCCGUCAUAUUUUACAUAGCUAAAAGCCAUCGUUCUAUACAGCUAAGUCAUGUUUGGAUCAUUUCUGCACGGCCAAGGCCGCCGAAUCUUAGACGCUCACAGUGGUCGCCACCAAAUGACCCACUUAGCUUCAACUACGGCAAAAAAAAGCACUAAGGCGAUGGUCAAAACUACAACAAGGUUCCAGAAAAUAGAAAAAGAUUAACUAUGGCAAAAGUCAUAUGUCUUUAUCUUCAAAAGGGUCAACUCCCAUGAUACAAAAAUAGGUAUUUACAAACAUAUUUGUUUACAAAAAUCCUAAAGGCCUCCGCCGCUCCGCUCAUCCUGCCCCACCUGGUCUUCUUGUGGCCCGUCUUCAUUCCUAGGAGGGUACGUCUUGGAAAUCCAAGAGUUGGACUCCAAACGGUUAACAUCUGCUAGUCGGCCGCUUCACGUGCAGCUCUAACCAAUUGGCGUUGACUCUCAACCUCCGCCUCAAAUGCUCGCCCGGCCUCCAAAAAUUCCUCAAGUACGACCAGCCGAGCCACCGCAUACACCCACAUCUCAUGUGUCUCACGAGACGCAUCAACCUGUGCAAGAGCCCGCUUAAGGUCCUCAACCUAGGCCUUCUAAUUAUCAAGUUCCUCCGUUAAGGCCGCAACCCGAGUGCACAAUUCUACCGCCUCCUUUGCCACUACACGGCCAAACUGUAAUUCUUCAUCCUUAGAUUGAAUAAGGAUCUCUAUCUCUACAGCCCGAGCAACAGCGGCCAUGAGUUGCUCGUCAACCUUCUCCAGCUCAGCCACCCUCUUCUUCAACUACGCCUAAGACUACACGAGGCCCUCACGGAACACCCUAAAGUUAGGGUCAUGUCUAUACAUGUCAGCCAAGGUUUGGUGCGCCUCACGCGUCCUGUUGUACUUUUGGACCAACCUAUUAUAUUUGGCCACCUUCUUCUUAUGUUGCGCCUCAGACUGCAUGAGGCCCUCACGGAACACCCUAAAGUUAGGGUCAUGUUUAUAAAUGUCGGCCAAGGUCUGGUGCCCGAGGCGGAUCCAUGGUUUAAAUUUUAUGGAUUCAAUUUUUAAAAAUUUUAAAUUCUAUGGGUUCAAAUCUAUUAUUUUUGUAAUUUUAAUACAUUUUUACAUAUAAAUUUCUACUCUGCGUCGAAAGCUACGGGUUCAAUUGAACCCGUAGCUUUCAAGCUGGAUCUACCACUGUUUGGUGUGCCUCAUGCGUCUUGUUGUAUUUCUGCACCAACUUAUUGUAUUUGGCCACCUUAUUCUCCAGGUAUCGACCCCUCUCCACCUCCAAAAUAAGAGUCUGAAAAAAUCCAAAAGAUAAGUGCAAGGAAAAUCACCCUCCAUAAAUGCGGAAAAAAUCAAAUCAAAAGACAUACCUGCAAAGCCGCACCCGCCACUCCCCGGGCCAAGUCCCUGUCACUAGUCUCCGCCAAGGCCUCGCUCUCAGCGCCCGCACACAAAAAUGUCAUGUUUGCGGCCGCCUCCUCACAAUUUUCCAAUAAAUUGUAAUGACUGAGAAUAACUAUACGAUGGGUAGAUUGGCCAGCUACCAUCUCCACUUGGUCUAGGGACCCGUCUUCUCCGCCCAGAUCCUCAAUAGCGAUUCCGGGCUCGCCACAUCCACACAUUUACCCCCUCUCUCUGCGGCCGCCCGUGACCCGUUGUCUCGAGCACGUGCCGGGUGGAGGUUAGUAACUGCCUCCCUUCUAAGAGCAGACCUCCCCGAGCGAAUGGCUUCAGCCAUGAAGACCGGCCUAGACUCAUUUCAUCUCCAACGACUCUCUUUCUUCAGGUUCCCCCUCCGUGGGACGCAAGUUUGGCUCAGACGGCGCCACUUCGGUAGUAGGCGUCUCUAUGGGGGCAACCUCGGGGAUGGUCAUUGGCACCGCCACUGGUACCUCCUGGGGCGUCAUUUCAAGCAGGGCUCCAGAAACCGCCUCAGCCGUUGCUUCGGGGGCCGUCGCUGGUGCAACCUCUUUCCUUAAGGGGGAAGAAACACUACCCAUAGGCAUGCUUACAAGGAGUAUAUCCUCCUCAUCAGAAUCGGAUACUGCCCUGGAAGGGCUAGCCACAGUUUUCUUCUUCUUCUUCUACGCUUUCUUAGAAGUAACCCGAGCUGCCAAAACAGAUGUGAGUUGAGCAAGGAAAAUCAAGGGGAGCCUCCAAGCUUGAAUGGAAGGGAAAAAACAAAGCAAGUCUGUUACCUGUCGGUCCAUAGAGCCUGAUUAAUUCUAGCCAGGUGUGGCACUCCUCCGCAAGCGUUAUCAAUGUUCUCACCCACGACCUAAUGUCAUCGAUCGUUCGAGGAGUGCGAGCUGUCACUACAUAAAGGUAAAAAGAAAUCUAUGGUAAUUAAGCCAACGUAAUAAGAUUGCCGUUAAAUCAGCAUACAGGAAUGCUUACAUGUUGUGUUCCAUGCCUCCGGGAACCCUUCGAGGUUAGACACCAGAUGGUCAGUACGAAUGUAGAAAAGUUUCUUCCAAAAUUUACGAUUGGCCUUGUCGUCAACUUGCACCACAAAACCCUUUUUGCCACAAAGUACCAACUGGAGCAUGGUACCUCUCAUGAAGCUCACGCUGAACAUUUGCAAGAGGUGGUGAACCGAGACCUCCUUCCCAGCCUUAGCCACAUAUGUGGUAUGAAUCCUACACACCUUCAGCGCGUACGGGGUAAGUUGGGCCAGACACGCCCCAUACAAAUGGCAAAGCUCCUCCGCCAGAGGAUUGAGCGGGAGGCUAUAUCUAAUCCGAAAAGCAUACUCAUAUAAUGUGCAAUAUCCGGGCAUGUGCACACUGGCGUAGUCCGUCCCGGCGGGAGCCAUCUUAUCGUACUCAGGAAUAUUGUACGACUUCCCGAGAGCGGCCAAAUGAAAUGACGCAUUUGCUGUUAAAAUCCUUCCGUGUAACCAUGUCAUGUGGAAGUAUGUUGGUCGCUGAUAGAGGAACGAGGACCUCCUCGGCUUCUCCUUCCCCAUCAUCUGAGGACGAUGAAACCCUAGAAGGGGCAUCCCUUUUUGUCUUGUUGCUAUCGCGGAGACGCUUAACCAUGAUGAAAGUCAUGAGAGAAAGGCGCUUCAGGGGCAGAGGGUUCGAUUCCCAGGAACAAAAAUUUUAAAAAAAAGAUCAACGAGUACCAGAAAAAGACGAGGAUGAGAUUGAGGAAAUACUCUCUGAAAAGGUUCGAAAGUUGAAUUGGGUUCAACCUCUCCUCUAUUUGUAAGGAAAGGCACACGGAAAUCGAAAAUGCAUGAUUCAAAAACUGGCUCAGGAAAAUAAAAUGUCAGGUCAUGUCCUGGACCGCCUCGGUUCAACCUCCCCUCUAUUUGUAAGGAAAAGCACACUGAAAUCGAAAAGGCAUGAUUCGAAAAUCGGUGCGGGAAACCAAAACGUCACGUCAUAUCCUGAACCGCCUCGGGAGCAAAAGUAAUAAUCACGCACGUGAUAGAUGAUGUCAUCCUAAAAAGGAGCCCUAAAAUAAGGUUAUAUGUCAACGACAUAACGCCUUCAUACAUGAUCACGCCCUUUUUUCACAGUAUCUGCGGGUACGUUCGAAUUUCUAGAAAGGUCGAGCACGUAUGUCCGAUCGUUGAAGACGCUUCUCGGCUGCGUCCCAAACAAACGGAGGGACUAUCUGUAUCGGGAAAAUUUGGUUCCCCACGUUCUCAUGCUAUCUAUGCAUGUCCUUGACAUAGAGUCCGGCCCAACUGAGGCCGACUCGAGUAAGUAAAUGGACGGACCGAGUGACAUGACCCAAGACGACAUCGUUUGAAGCUCUGACUCUCCCGUACACUAAGGCCACCAACUUCUGUACUCUUCUUUGAUUAUUUCGAGGAAGGUCCCUUGAUAUAUAAAGGGGACCUUCCCUUUGUAAAGGCUCAUGUGUAUUUUGCUACUUAGAAUAUACAACUCUCUCCCUCUCUUUCUCUCUCUCUCUUGUGCAAAGAUUAUUACUUGUUCCAUUACUCUUGCAUCUUAGGAUUUUUACAUCUCAUUAUUGUCACCGAUCUUAGCUCGAUAACACUCUCUUGUCCAUAUUACACUUGAUUCCAGUUUACCCUUUUAUAUUUUCGAUUGUUCUUGUACUUAAUAAGUAUUCACAUAACCUUUUAGCAAAACAGAAUUCAAUUACUAUACAACAACAGUUCCUUGAAAAUAAGGUUGACAAUAUGCUACAAUAUGUGAUUUAACAUUGAUAUUGUAAAAUUAUUCAUAUUAUCAGUAUAUAAAAGUUAAAUGCAUUAUUAAAUUAACUAAUUAGCAAAGCAACUACUCCAUAAAUCACCAUACUAAUUCCAUGAAGCAGAAAGGUAAGGUGAAAAAAGAGUGGAAUGGUUUCUGGAAAAUGUUAUCUAUUGCGAAUAUGGCAUCAGGGGAUACUAAAUAAUUCAACAGGAGCAUCCCUAGUUUUACUGCUGUACAGAAGCAUAAUAAAUUGGAAUUAACCAUCAAUUGUUGAUCUCAGUACCAACUAUAUUACAUGUAUACGGGCAAGACCGGGGCAACGUGUACCCGAUUUCCCCUUGGGUCAAAUGACGCAAGGAUAUUAUUAUGCGGGAUCGGAGUUGAAGUUGAGAACUUACUUUACCAAGAUCCGAACAAAAUGUUCGCCAUCAGACUAGAUAAAAUAACGCGGCCCGAACCCUGGAUGGGUUCUGAGACUUCGGGAAGUGCAUGAAUAGUUGCAUACGACUAACGGAGGGCCGUGGACACGGAUAUCACGGUGCAGAUUUCGCCCGAUGUCGGUAAUGGAUCAAAUUGGGUCAUUGCAUUAUGACGAUUUGAUUAUUCAUUGCGUCUUUAACUCAUUUAUCUAACAUUUUUGAUUAUUUGUGUUGAAUUAAUUCAUAUAUUUUUAAAACCGCAUAUAAAUUCAAGUGUUACCAUUUUAAGUAUAAACAAUGCAAUUGACUCUUCGAGUGAAGUUGUUUAUCCCAAACAAAAGGGUUGCUUCAAGUCACCAAAAGAAUAAUAGCUCCAACAAAGGAGGGACAAAAGGGGAAGAACUGAAAAAAAAAAUGGUUACUUACCUCAGGAAAAGAAUUAGGAUGUGGUUCCUAUAUUUCAAGUGAAUUAUUUCUUUUCGAAAAUAAAUUGGAAAAACAAUUUAAGUUAAGGUUGAGUGUUUGAAUUAGUUUAUGAGAAAUAUAUUUGGAAUAUGUUUUUAUCACUUUUAGUAAAUUUUAACUUUCAAUUAUUUAUUAGUUUAAUUUGAUGAAUAUUUCCGUUUAACUUUUUGCAAACAGAAGUGUGCCUUUUGCAAACUAAAUUUUACCUUUCAAUUGUUUAGUAGUUCAUCAAGGAGUCCAGAACCUUUUUAUUGUCUUUUUGGACAAAAGUUACAUAAAUAGGUAUAAAAAAAUAAAGUUACCGUUAUAUGUAUAAUGCCAAAACAUAUCACGCUAUACCUUAACAGUAACUUAUCAUUAAGGUAUAGCGUGAUGUGUUUUGGCAUUAUAUAUACUGUCACUUCACUGACAGAGGUAUAGCGUACUGUAUUUUUAUGUUUUAUUGUACAAAUACAUCACGCUAUAUCCUAAUUAAAUAAUCUUAUUCGUCUGCUUCCCAGACCAAAACGAUCCCUACUUUCAACCAGUUUCUGCCNNNNNNNNNNNNNNNNNNNNNNNNNNNNNNNNNNNNNNNNNNNNNNNNNNNNNNNNNNNNNNCCCACCUCCCCUCCGCCAUCGUCUUCUUUAAAAGAAAAAUUGUGGGCCACAUUCGUCCCACAAAACGUUAAGAACGUAGAUCCCACAUCGUAGUAGAGCAUCGUAUCAUUGUGAUUUCACUCUUUCGGACAUAAAUUUUCACACAAAAUACUGCAUCGAGGUAUUUUAAUUUAUUUUAUAGUUGAUUGAAUGUGUUUCCAUGUUGUUUUGCAUUUUAUUUGCGAAACUAGUAUGUUAUAUUUAUCUGGACUUAAAUAUUAAUGUUCUAAAAAAAUUAAAAAUUGAGAAAUAACUUUUUUUUGUUAAUAUAAGGAUUUAGAUAUUACUAUUUUCAUGUCGGUUUGUGUUUUAUUUUUACGAAACUAGUAUGUUAUAUGUAUUAUGUGAAUGUUAAGUGAUUAAAAUGUCUUUAUUGUUUAUAUUUAGUUUUGUGUAUCUAUUAGCGUAGUAAAAUGUAGAACCUUUUAGCAUAGUAAAUUGUAGAGUAUUUUAGCGUAGAAUCCCUGUUGUUUAAGUAUUUCUUAUAUUGGUAGAUGAAAAUAUAUACUUUGUACAAUUAAAUAAUUAAAAAAAAAGAAUUUAAAUUAUAAAACAAACACACACAAAAUUAUUAAAAUAUUAAAUUUGACACAUAUAAAUAUUCAUGAUAGUUUGGUGCUAUUGGGCCUCAAAUAUCCAGCAUGUAACCCAAUAGGUAUAUAUACUUUGUACAAUUAAAUAAUUAAAAAUUAAGAAUUUAAAUUAUAAAACAAACACACACAAAAUUAUAAAAUAUUGAAUUUGACACACAUAAUUAUUCAUGAUAGUUUGGUGCUACUGCGCCUCAAAAAUCGAGCAUGGAACCUAAUAGGUAUAUAUAUACUCUGCGCCUCAAUAUCGAGCCUAGAACCCAGUAUGAAUCUAUACUUUGUACAAUUAAAUAAAUAAACAUGCAAUUAAUGUUGUUUAAUUUACAGUUGACGACAUGGACGAGUCACCUAUACAUCUCGGCCCUUACUCUAGCGAGAUAUUAGUGCUACAAGGCGAUCACAGGUCCGCCCAUAUAUGGGACGGGGAGUUAGUGUCCCAGACUCUCUGCGCUAGGAGAGUGGAUGACCUGUGGGAUUUUUUGAGGCCCAGAGAUCUCCACGAACGUGUAGUCCAGCGCCUACAAGAUACGGGAUUUUAUAGGAUUAUUGAGAUCGGGAUGGAUGCAGCUCGGCUAGGCUUUGGUGACGGCGUUGAUUGAGCGGCGGUGACCAGAGACGCAUACCUAUCACCUGCCCAUUAGCGAGGCCACCAACACGUUGUAGGACGUGGAGGUUUUAUAUGUCCUGCCCGUUGAUGGCAUGGCCGUUUCACUACCUAUUGCUAUGAGAUCUAUGUCAGGCAAUCAUUAUUUGGACAUGUUGUAGCAGCUCACGGGUUUCAGGCCACAGGACGAGAUAUUUUGUCGGGUGCCAGUCGGUUGUCUUUGACCCGUAUUAGAUAGUACCUGGAGAUACUCCAGCCCAUUAUUACCGAUGAUACAUAGGAGGUACAUAUUACCCGAUAUACGUGGUUGUUGUUGCUUCUUCUAUUUGGAGGGGUUGUGUCCCCGAACACUUCGGCGAACAUACUCACCUGUAAUUCAUAUUCAGUUGCCAGAUGAGUUACCCUAUUACAUGUAGGGUGCUGCUGUUCUCGCCUACAUAUACAAGAAUAUAUGCUAGGCGCUUUAUCGGGCACCUGCAACAAACAACCUUGUAUACAACCGGACUUGACUCCCAUACCGUCAUCCCACGUUACUAUUUACGUCAUGCAUUUUACAAGCCCUGCUUACGCGCGCUUUAUGUUGAAAAAACAUGCCCUUUGCCAGCACCGUUGAUCUAGACUCAUCCCACAUUGUUGUCCGAAAUUCAUCAAAAUUCCUUGUAAGAGCUUUCACAUCCGACAUGUUUGGCAAUUUAUCAAGGUAAGGAAUCUCCCUUGAAUGAAACAACACUUGAGACUCGUACACACUUCGUCUUGGGGAUGGAUCAUUCUCUCUGGUCGAAUCAGAUCCUUCCUUCUCAUCCUUCUCAUCACCAUCCUCACGAGGAAAGGGUGUCUCGUCUCCAGAUUCAUCAGCAUUGUUGUCGUAAUCACUAUUCUCUUCCUCACUCUCUGCAUCUGCCAGAUUCCAAUUAUAUACGUCGUCUUCGAGCAACUGAGUGAGUACAUUUGCUUCAACUUGCUCGUUUUCACUGCAUAAUCAACAAAUUAUUAGGAUGCUGAAUUUAAAAAAUACUUUCCAUAUAGCCGUAUCACUUCACUUACAAGUCGUAAUGUGAUGAAAUUCCAUGAUGGAUAUUCGCCAGAUCCUGAUUUAAUACGUCGUCUUCAGGCAAUUAAGUGAGUACAUGUGGUUCAACUUGCUCGUUUUUUCUGCACAAUCAACAAAAUAAUAAGCUACUGAAAUUAAUAAAUACUUUUCAUAUUGCUGUAUCACUUCACUUACAAGUCGUAAUGUGAUUAAAUUUCAUGAUGGACAUUUUCAUUUAGGUGAUGACAAUCAGAUGGACCGCCAUGAUCACACACACCAAAACUAUACUUAGGCUCAUAAUUUAUAAAAUUCAUAUCCGGUUAGUACCCUCUAUUAAAUGUAUAAGCGUUAAUACAAAUUCAAUAUAACAAAAAUAUACAUCGUAACACAAAGGAAAAAUUAAAGUUUACCGCUCGUCUUGUGAAUUGUGAAAAGCAGGAGGUGAUAAGUUUAAAUCAAGGAAAACUCUUUCAUUCAAAAAAUGUCCGAAAAAAAUCCGAUGACUGGAGGUUAUCUGAAACCUGUCCGGCAACCUCUUUGUUGGGAACGUCUUCGACCUUGAUGUACAUAUCUAACAUUUUGAAUACAAGAAAUUCCCGGUAAUCCGGAGUUCUCAGAAAAUUCCUCAAAGUUUUAUCAUCGUAUAUGUUUAACUCUGAGUAAAAAACGGCUCUUUGUGGAGUGACGGAAUACAGAUAUCUUCCGGUUACUGUAAGCAUCACUCGAUAUUUUCUCACACCUAUUUUUUUGCAUAACGAUAUUAAUUUAUCAUACUCUGUUGUAAAUAGUAAUUCAACAUGAACCAGUGGAGAUAAAAUAUACCUCACUAAGUUAUUCUCCAUCACAACCUCACCCCUCCAAUAUAAUGAAACUCUUAUUCUACAUUACUUCAAACAUUAUGAAAAAAUGCUUGAGAAUUUAACAAGAAGAAAAGAUUGAAUGGGAAUUAGAAUUUUUUGUGAAUGGAUUUUCCUAAAAUCCUAACUCUUUUAUAUAGGAAAUGUGCGAGCCCGGGGUUUGAGACAUUCACUUAUUGGUAGGCCCAUAAUAAGGGGUAUAACGCGCUGUAUUUGUACGCUAUAUAUAGCAUAAAAUUACAGCACGAUUUACCUGUGUCAGUCAAAUGUCAGUAUGUAUAACGCCAAAACACAUCAUGUUAUAUCUUAAUGGCAAAAGUUAACGUUAAGGUAUAGUGUGGUGUGUUUUUGCGUUAUAUAUAAAGGAAAAUUUUUUACACCUAUUUACGUAACUUUUUACAAAAAGACAGUAAAAAGGUUUCGGACUCGCUUAUCGAGACAUAUAAAGAAAAAUAAAAAUAUUAAAUAAGAUUUAUUUUAAAAAUAUUUGUUAUUAUGAAAAUAAUUUUAUUGCUGUUGACUUUGACACUGGUGUGAAGUGGGACCUAGCAUUUUUUCUCUGAAUGAGCUGGGUUGGCCUGGCCGGCGCUUAAAACUAGGGAUAUUUGCAUCAAUACCCGCUUUUUGCGUUACAUUUUAGCUUGUGUCCGCUUUGUAAAAAAAAUAACAAACGUACCCGCUUUUUCGCAUAACUUCAGUAUAUGGGUCUGAAAUAGCAAAGUCAAUCACGCAAAACUUCAGCAUUCUAGAAGCUGGGCCUGAAGUUCAGCUCUAGAACUGAAGUUUUUAAUUGCCACAAGCGAAGUUCAACUCUAGAGUUGAAGUUUUUUUUUGUAAGUUGCAACUCUAGAGCUGAAGUUUUUGCUUUGUAACUGUCAAACUUCAGCUCUAGAGCUGAAGUUUUCGUUUGUAACUGAUUUUUGUUUGUAAGCUUUGGCUCUAGAGCUAGAACUUUUGUUUUGUAACUGACGAAUUUCAGUUCUAGAGCUGAAGUUUAUAUUUGUAAUUGAUGAGUUUCAGCUCUAGAUCUUAAGUUUUUAUUUUUGUGACUGUCGAACUUCAGCUCUAGCGCUGAAGUUAUUUGGAAGCUAGCGUUAGAAUAGGAUCUGCUCAAAUAAGCUGGGGAUCCAUCCAUCAAACAAUUUGUUAGUAUAUUAAAAUCUUUUGGAUAAUAUCUCAGCACCGGGCUCAAGAAUUUUUAUGUGCUAACAUACUCAAUUUAGCUUUACAACAAACAGCUUUCACCUUAAUAAUAUUUAUCAAAACAACCCAAAAAAAGAAGUAAAUAAAUACAAAUUAAUCAUCCUUGAUUGCGAGAGCAAAUACUGAGCUCAGUAAUACGAUUGCAAAAACGUCCUCACUUAACAAUGGUAUCCUGAUAGUUUCCACUUACAAAAGGAACUAUGAAAAAUAAUUUCUUUUUUAAUCAUAUAAUAGUACAAAAGAAAGUUUUAACUUCUAUGUACCAUUAGUUUAAAAGAAAUUUUACCUAAAAAAUAAUCUGCACCAACAGCAAAGAAAGAAGAAGAAAACGAACGAGGAGAAAGUGGCUAAUAACCCGUUUGGCCAAGUUGCAAAAAUUAGCUUAUUUUGAAAAGUGUUUUUUUUUAAAAGUGUUUUUUUCAAAAGUACUUUUGAUGAGAAGCAGUUUGUGUUUGGCUAAUUAGUUUGAAAAGUAAUUCUGAGCAGCAAUUAGUGUUUGGCCAAGUUUUAAAAAAUUGCUUCUAAGUGUAUUUUUCUAAAAAGUAUUUCUCAAAAAAAGUGCUUUUGGAGAGAAGCUAUUUUUUUUUUGCUUCUCCUAAAAACACUUUUUUUCCUUCUAGAAACUUGGCCAAACAACUUAAUUUUUAGUCAAAAAUUUUUGACCAAAAAAAAGUUUAGCCAAAUAAACUAUAAAAAUAUUUAAAAAGUGGGUAUAAAUUAAAUAUAUGCUAAAUAGGGGUGCAAUUUCUACUUAAAACUAUUGGGACCAAUUAACCUGUCCGCUGCUCUACGCACCCUACCCGGCUGUUUGAAAAAUAAAAAUAAAAAAUGAAUUUGAGACAUUUGACAACCUAAGAUAAAGUCAAUCAAGCCACAAAGCAUAGAACACUUGUUAUAUACGUGGCACCAUUUACUGAAUUCUUAGGAAAACAACUAGGAAAAAAUUCCACAAACUGACCCGCCCGUUUAUCGUUACGAAUACUUUUAAAAUUUCCAGCCGUUUGUCCAACGGUUCAACCACAAUUAGGUUCCACUUUAUAUUUGUUCAAUUUUUUAAGUCGAUGUCUCAAUCUCUUUUUUAUGGUGAAAAAAAUGUCAUGUCUUCGUUGAAAAAAGAAUUCCUAAAUAGAUUCAAAUAUCACACAAACUUUCUCAUGUUUAUUUUUUGUGUAACAGACUUAAAGUGUUUGUAUCAUAUUAACCAAUAACUAUAUAUGAGAUUUAAUUUGUCCAUUUGUAAAUUAAAUUAUAUUCUUGUUACGCAAAGCUUAAAAGAAUGAAAAUUCAUAUAUGAAUGUAAUUAUAAGAAAUUGAUCACUAAUGUAUAUAGGGGGACCUGAAAAGUAGACUCAUCCAACUACAGAAGGGAGAACGGUUCAACAUUAACAAACUCUACAGACUCCAAUUCCCCCAAACCCCUAAAGUACAAUGGAAAAGCAUAGUACUGCAGCCAAAACUACACCCGAGAUUCAAAUUUAUCGUUGGCUUGCCUGAUAUCCAAUUCUCCCAAUCCCCAAAAGUACAAUGGAAAAGCAUAGUACUGCAGCCAAAACUACACCCAAGAUUCAAAUUUAUUGUUUGCCUAGCGCUGCGCAAAAGAGUGGCAACGGCGGAGAGGCUCAUGAUCUUUGGGAUACAGAUUCCUCAACAUUGUGUAUUCUGCAAACAAGUAGAUGAAUCAUUUGACCAUCUAUUUUUUGCUUGCCCGAUAACUUGGGGGCUAUGGAAUAGACUGCUCAUAUGGCUAGAUUACAAGAGAACCAUUGGUGAUUGGAACAGCGAAGUCAACUGGGUUAGCAAUAUUGCAAAAAGGAAAAACUUGCAUGCUGAAAUAACAACCAGUGUCUUUGGAAUGUUAGUAUACUGUUUGUGGCGAGAAAGAAAUAGAAUUAGAUUCCAAGGCGGGAUCUCGGUUGUUAGGGAUACAUGUAAAGAGAUAGCGAUUCAUGAGCACAUUCAGGGAACCUCUGUCAAACACUGGAAGGAAGUGUUUCGAAGACUGAAUCACUUUCCAUAGAAAUCUGAAAGGAAACUUUAUACGCUUCUCAUGUUUUAAUGUAUAUACAUCAUAAGGGAGUUUUUUCUUCUAGACUGAUUGUAACAGUAGCUAGUCAGCGGCUACUGGAAACUUUGUAAUUCUGAUCUGUUGAUGAAAUGAAAAAAAAACUUUGAUUGCUAUUUUGGGACCCAGUUAUAAAAUUUAAAUAAUUAUAAUUUUAUUUAAAAAAUUAGAAAAUAUAAAUAAAUAUAAUUCAAAUUAGCGACCACAGGUGGUCGCCUAGAAAAAUUGAGACCAAUUUUGGUCGCUAAACUGGGACUCAGUUCUAACGUUUAACAAUAAUAUUAAUAUGAUAAAUAUUAUAUGAAGAAAAAUAAAAUAAAAUUGAUCACUAAUAUGUAUGCAUCAAAUUAUAAAAUAUUAAAUAAAAAGUUAUAUUAUUUCACGAAAUGGAUUAAAACAUAAAAACAUAGUAGAAGGAAAAUAGCGCGAGCGUUUUGUGUUUUAAUCUAAUUCGUGAAAUAACAUAACUUUUUAAAUUUAAUGUUUAUUAUUUGAUGCAUACAUAUGAGUCAACGUGUAUAGAGAAGCUAAAAACAAUUAUUUAAACACAACUAAAAACAAUUAUAUUUCCUCUUCUUGUAUAGAGAAAGGGCACAAAAGUUUAGGCAACUAUGUACCUACUAAAUUGAAAACUGCCUUCUUAAUCUUUUUGUUUUGUGAAAAGUUUAAUUUAUAGAUCAUUUACACUAUCCAAGCCAUUAAAAUUAAUUCGAACUUGUAAACUGGGUCAAUUAGAGUGAGCCCAAAUUUAUCAAUGAAUGAAUCUAUUUCAACGCAUUUCGUCCAAAUUUGGACAGGGUACAAUUAUGUGGACUUGAUCUCCCUUUGGCUUGACAUGCAUAUUUUAGAAAGCUUUUUGAAAUAUGAAUUAGGAAAUUGCUUUUAAAGGUGCAUGUUUGCAAGAGAAAUAUAUUUUAUGAAAAACGUUUUUACCAUAUCAAACAAACCUUAGUUCUACAUUGUUUAGCUCCAAACUAUCAGUUAUUUUUCUUCUUUAAAUUAAUCAAUCAGAUGUUUCUAAUCAGAUAAUUGUAAUCUAUUACUUGGAAACCACCUCAAGAUUUAUUGUGAAUUUCGUUCAUUUUCAUUUGAGUCGGGUUUUAAAAGUAAAUUCUGCAUUCCAAGGCCUUAUAAACUUCUUUUUAUCUCAUUUCGAUUUGCAUGUACAGUCCGGACGUGUAACCGGACAGUCAUUAUGUGAAAAUCUGUGAAAAAAAUAAUAAAUUUUGACUAUAAAAUGAAUUAAGUUGACUUCGAUCAAUAUUUUGGGUAAACGGAUUCAGACCCGCGAUUUGACUGUAUCGGAGGGUCCAUAGGAAAAUAUAGGACUUUGGCAUAUGCCCGGAAUCGAAUUCCGAGGUCCCAAGCCCGAAGGAAUUUUUAAAGACUAUUAUUUUUUGAAAUUAUUUAUGAGAUUUAGAAAUGCAUUGUGAUUAGAACUUGAUGGUAUCGGGCCCGUAUUUUGAUUUUGGCGCCCGAUACAGGUCUUAUAUAUGUUUUAAGAUAAGUCUGUGAAAUUUUGUAGAAACAGGCUUGAAACAACGUGAAUCGGAUCAUUUAUGAGAAAUUAAAAUUUUGAAGUUCUUGAGAAAAUUUCAUGAUUUUGAUGCAAAGUUCAUAAUUGUUGAUGUUAUUUUAGUGAUUUGAAUGCACAAACGAGUCCGUAUGAUAUUUUUAGGUUGUUGUGCAUAUUUGGUUUGGAGCCCCGAUGGCUCGGGUGAGUUUUAGAUAGUCCACGGGAUGAAUUUUUGGACUUAUGGAAAUUGCAGACUUUCAGCUGUGCACUUCAUGCCUGCAUGCGAAGCCUAGCUCGCAAAUGCAAUAUCGCAAAUGUGAGGGCUUUGUUGCAAUUGCGGAGAUAGCCCAGGCCAGCUCUCCCUCGCAAAUGUGAGACCUUCUUCGCAAAUGCGAUGCACUCCCCUUUGGGCAUGUUAUCGCAAACACGAUCAUUUGUUCACAUUUUCCAACUCGCAAAUGCGAGAACCCCUUCGCAAUUCCCAACAUAGCAGAGGUCGGGGUUCACAAUUGUGAACUUUGUUCGCUUUUCCCAUACAUGCAACCUGCAAUUUUUAUACUUAGGCGAAAAUCAAUUAUUUUUCACAUCUUUUCAAUACAUAAACUUCCUAGGGCGAUUUUUCAAGAACAACUCUUCUUCCAAAUCGAUUGUAAGUCAAUUUUAACUCGUUUCCUUCAACCAUUAACAUCUUUUAACAUGAUUGCAACUCAAAUCAAUAAUUUUCAUGGAAAAAUUGGGUGUUUUGUGUAUAACCUAAAUUUUUUAAAAAUUGGGAUUUGGACCUCAAUUUGAGGUCCGAUUUCAAAAUAAAUUAUAUAUUUGGGUUCGCGGGAGAAUGGGUAAUGGGAUUUUAGUUCGAACCUCAGGUUUUGACCACAUGGGCCCAGUGGCAAUUUUUGACUUUUUGGGUAAAAUUUUAGAAAACUCAUUUUCAUGCAUCAAAAUUGAUUCAUUUGGCGUUUAUUGAUGUAAUUAAAUAACUUGUGGCUAGAUACGAGCGAAUUGGUGGUGGAAUCAAGAGGAUCUUACCGUUAAGCCGUUGGUACUCCACAUCUUCACGGAGAAUUUAAUUCACCGGGUCCAUGUCGGAGACACCGGGGCAGUCGUUACACCAUUCGUUCAGGUUGCUACUUAAGCCCAGAUCUUGCGUCUUCUUUUGCUGGCUAGAUGCGUAAGUCAAGGUUCACGCUUGGUCCCUUGACGAGUACUUUGAUUUUAGAUUUCUAAAUUUUCGUAAGUCCCUCCUAGAAUUGUGUUUGUGGCAUCGAGGUAAGUGUUUGAUCUAACAUUAGCUUGAGGGAUUAGGAGUCUAGUCCUAUUUUCUAUGUAAUAAUUGUUGAGUAUGACAUAUAGGCAUGGUGACGAGUAUCUAUACGUUGGUGUCAAGCAUGACCUGAGUCUUAUAUUGUGAUUAUCAUGACUUCGUUGUAUUAUUCAUACUUUGGUGAUGAUUUCUAUUUGAUGUGAAAGGUUUGUGGAAGGAAUUUUGACCUUUUAACAUUGAGGAGCGUUGGCUCAAGUUAUGUAACGAAUUGUGAAAGUAUAAGCGGUAAUUGAACCCUUUGGAGCAUUGGCUCAAGUGGUAAACUGAGUUGUGAAGUAAAAGUAAAAAAGAGAAGAGAACCUCUAUAUUGUCUCCAUUGCCGGGAUAUUGUGGUUAUUUUGAUGUUGUCCCUUGCCGGGACUUGUUGCUGAAUUAUAUUCCCUUGCCUGAAUUCUUAUUUUAAUUUUAUUUAUUUCCUUGCCCUAUUGUUUGUGAUUGUUGUUUGGAUGUGGAAGAGUGUUAAAGCAUGAAGGGUGAUGUUGUGUAUGAUUAAUGAGGAAAGAGUGUAAAGCACGAAGGGUGAUGCCCGUGCCACACAAUUUAUCAUUCUGUGCCGAUUAUAUUCAUUUUCAUGAUGAGGACAAGAGUAAAAGAACGAAGGUUGAUGUUGUGCAGAUUAUAUUGAUUCUUAUGGUGAGGACGAGAGUAAAAACACGAAGGGUGAUGUCGUGCACUUGUCCUUGACUGUUCUGAUUCUUAUUGAUAAUUGAGUUAUGUUGUCAUUUACAUUUAUUCACUGAUUUUAUUGUGAUGUUAUAGAUUCCCUUACCCUAUUUCCAUUUUGAUUGUUGCUUGGGUGAGGAAGAGUGUUAAAGCACGAAGGGUGAUGUCGUGUAUUGUUUUGGUGAGAGUGUUAAAGCACGAAGAAUGAUGUCGUGCACUUGUCCUUGAUUUUCCUGAUUUUUACUGAUAACUGAGUUACGAUUUCUCUACAUUUAAUUGUUGGUUUCUAUUGAUACUUGUUGUACCCCCGCAUCAUGAUUCCCCCUAUUAUUUUCAAUUGAACUGUGGGCAUCCUCAUAUUUAUUUGUUGUUCUUCGGUUAUUAUUCGAUGUCCCCGCAACAUGUUACCCCCUCCUUAUUUGGUGGUCUGGUCCUAGCCUCGUCACUACAUCGCCGAGGUUAGGCUAGGCACUUACCAGCACAUGGGGUCGGUUGUGCCGAUACUACACUCUACACUCUUUUGUGCAGACCCAAGUGUUGUAGACUUCGGACCGCAGUGAGAUUGCUGAUUCUUGUUCAUCAGCCGACCCAAGGUAGUCCUGCAGACGUCCGCAGGCCUUGUUCUAUCUACUAUUCAUGUUUCUUUCAUGUAUUUCCAGAGACAGUGUUGUAUUUAUUUCUUUCAAACCUUUAUUUGUAAUAUUCUUAGACCGUCUGUGAAAUUGUAACACCAAUUCUAGGUAGUCGAGACUCAAAUAGUUGUACUGGAUUCAUAUUUAGAAAGUUUAUUUCUUUUCUUCCACUUUUGGUAAAUUCCACUAUUUAAAUGUCACUGCUUCAUGAUCAUUAAAGAAUAUAAAAUGUAUAAAAAGGGUAAUCUGUUCAAUAGUCGGCUUGCCUAGCUCGCAUUAGUAAGUGCCAUCACGACUCCCGAUGGUGAAAAAUUCGGAUCGUGACAACUUUAUCUAUGGGUUAUUGUUGUGCUUUCCAUCUAUUUUCUAGUCCUUAUGAUGCUGUUAUUUUUUUUUAUGAUUUUUAUUGAUGGUACUGAUAUAUCGCCUAUUUUCGUCUUCUUGAGCCGGGAAUCUUUCGAAAGUAUCCUCUUUGUCUCUCGGGGUAGGGUUAAGAUCUGUGUAAACACCACCCUUUUCAGAUUACACUAAUGAAAUUUUACUAGAUCGUUAUUGUUGUUGUUGUUAAAAUCUGUAUAAACACCACCAUUUUCAGACUACACAAAUUUGAAAUUUUAUUAGGUCAUUAUUAUUGUUGUUGUGUUAUGAAAUAAUAUAAAAGACAAGAAC